rnacentral:rRNA from 1 species
UGCAAGUCGAGGGGUAACAGGGAUUAGUUUACUAGUCUGCUGACGACCGGCGCACGGGUGAGUAACGCGUAUACAAUUUACCUUUUACAGGAGGAUAGCCCAGAGAAAUUUGGAUUAAUACUCCAUGGUAUUAUCGGGUCGCAUGGUUUGAUAAUUAAAGUUUCGGUGGUAGAAGAUGAGUAUGCGUCCUAUUAGCUGGUUGGUAAGGUAACGGCUUACCAAGGCGACGAUAGGUAGGGGUCCUGAGAGGGAGAUCCCCCACACUGGUACUGAGACACGGACCAGACUCCUACGGGAGGCAGCAGUGAGGAAUAUUGGUCAAUGGAGGCAACUCUGAACCAGCCAUGCCGCGUGCAGGAAGACUGCCCUAUGGGUUGUAAACUGCUUUUAUACAGGAAGAAACUUAUCCACGUGUGGAUAACUGACGGUACUGUACGAAUAAGGACCGGCUAACUCCGUGCCAGCAGCCGCGGUAAUACG